CCUACGGGAGGCUGCAGUGGGGAAUAUUGGACAAUGGGGGGAACCCUGAUCCAGCCAUGCCGCGUGUGUGAAGAAGGCCCUCGGGUUGUAAAGCACUUUCAGUGAGGAAGAACGCCUGGUGGUUAAUACCCAUCAGGAAAGACAUCACUCACAGAAGAAGCACCGGCUAACUCCGUGCCAGCAGCCGCGGUAAUACGGAGGGUGCGAGCGUUAAUCGGAAUUACUGGGCGUAAAGCGCGCGUAGGUGGCUUGAUAAGCCGGUUGUGAAAGCCCCGGGCUCAACCUGGGAACGGCAUCCGGAACUGUCAAGCUAGAGUGCAGGAGAGGAAGGUAGAAUUCCCGGUGGAGCGGUGAAAUGCGUAGAGAUCGGGAGGAAUACCAGUGGCGAAGGCGGCCUUCUGGACUGACACUGACACUGAGGUGCGAAAGCGUGGGUAGCAAACAGGAUUAGAUACCCCAGUAGUC
rnacentral:rRNA from 1 species